UACAGAGGUCCCAAGCGUUGUUCGGAUUCACUGGGCGUAAAGGGUGCGUAGGCGGUCGGGUAAGUCGGAUGUGAAAUCCCAGGGCUCAACCCUGGAACUGCAUUCGAUACUGCCUGGCUAGGGUACUGGAGAGGAGACUGGAAUUUACGGUGUAGCAGUGAAAUGCGUAGAUAUCGGGAGGAACACCAGUGGCGAAGGCGGUUGCCUGGAGCUUUGCUGACGCUGAUGCGCGAAAGCGUGGGGAGCGAUCCGG
rnacentral:rRNA from 1 species